rnacentral:lncRNA from 1 species
AAUAAGGAUUUUAUUUGGCUUAAUAUUUCAUCAUGGGGUGCUCCGGUGUUAGUUAAAAAGAUGGAGGGAACAUUGAGGCUUUGUAUUGAUUAUAGACGGUUGAAUUAGGUGACCAUCAAAAACAAGUAUUCUCUAAGGUGACGACUUGUUUGAUUAACUGCAUGGUGCACAAGUAUUUUCAAAGAUUGAUUGAAGGUCGGGUUACCAUCUAUUGAGGAUCAAGGAGGAGAAUAUUUCGGUUACUUUUGGAAAAUUGUGUAAUUGUAUUGUAUUGAUGAAAUUAUUUGAGAGCAGGAGGAGGAAAUAAAGAAAUCAUAAUCCUCAUCUUUUCAUCGAUUGAGUAUGAUCAAUUUAGAGGACUAAAUUUUCUUUUAAGGGGAGGAGAGUGUAAUAUCCCUCACUUUUAAAAAUUUAUUAAUAAGGAUUUAUAUGUAAAUUGAAGGACCUAUAUGUAAAUAUAGAAAUUUCAAGGACUAAACUGUUAAGUUGCAAAAAAAAAAAAAUAAAGAAAAUUGAAAA